ensembl:lncRNA
UUAUUGUGGUUAUUGUUAUUAUGGUUGUGUCUGCUGUCCUGUUUUCCGUGUUGGUGUACUGUCAGGUGUUUAUGGGUGUGUGAGGGUGCGGUCGUGGCAGGCACUUUUAGGCCUGGUGGGUGUGGCCCUGCCAGCUGACCGGUCCCACCCAGGAAUCCACACACACCUGGCGCCGAUCAAGCCUCGUCAGAGGAGCUUCAAAACAGUGUGGCUGAGAGCUCCUCGACGCUGGAUCGUUGAGUGACUUCCCGUCAGUCUUAGUUUAUUGUGCAAGAAACGGAUCAGAAAUUUCUGGCACCACAUCGCAGCUCCUUCCACGGAGCCAAGCAUAAGAUCUAAUGAUGGUGAUGAUGAUCCUGAUGAAGGCCACAAGCCGAAAUGUGUCGGUGGAGCAGUGAAGUUUUCUAAAUCAUUCAAAUGUUCCUUGAGCUCCAACUUUCUAUUUCCUUAUUGCUUCAGGACUGUGUGUUGAUUUCACUGACAGCUUAUUUAUUAAUAAGUAAUUAUUAAUAUUAUUGUUGAAAACAACUCCAAGAGCUAAGUUUAGUUUUAUAGAAAAGAGCAGUAUCUCUGUCAGGUGAAUAUCUACAAAUAUACUAACAAAUAAAAUCUGCAUCUGACGAUGACAGUCAGCAAUGCAGCUUGAUUUGAAAACAUUAAUAUGGAAAUAAAAGAAUGAAUGAAUGACUGAUGCUGCCUGAACUUUUAAUGUGACUCUUUCCUUACUUGUUUAAAAUGUCUGAAUAAUUAGUCAUUACUGCUUUUCUUGAAAUCUCAACACAGAAGAAACGCCUGCGACCUUUGAGAGAGAUUGAACAUUGUGUUUUUGAGUGACAGCAGAUUACUGUUUUUGGCGAGUGAUUGAAACUCCACGUGCCGCCAUGACCACCCCGUUUCCCUGAACGUAUAUAUACGUAUGUAUAAUAAUAAGUGUUCAAUGCUUGUACACAGUGUGGGGUUUUCUAAUAUUGUCACUAAUAAAAGAUGAAUAGAAUUUAAGAUGUUUUAAAUAAAGUGGAACUGCUGCCAACCUUUGAAUCU